AAAACGCCCUUAACUCCCCUCUAGGGACAAGGAGCUGGUAUCAGGCACGAAAAUCUGCCCAAGACACCUAGCUACGCCACACCCACAAGGGAACUCAGCAGUGAUUAACAUUGAAAAUAAGCGACAGCUUGACUCAGUUAAAGUAAAUAGAGCCGGCAAAUCUGGUGCCAGCCGCCGCGGUUACACCACGUGGCUCAAAUUGAUCUCUAUCGGCGUAAAGCGUGAUUAAAGUUACUUUCAAACUGGGGUUGAACCUAAACUAAGCUGUGACACGCUUGUUCAUGAGAAAACCAAAAACGAAAGUUACCCCAAUCCUUCAACUUGAACUCACGACAGCUAGGAAACAAACUGGGAUUAGAUACCCCACUAUGCCUAGCCGUAAACUUUUAUUUACACCCCCAUCGCCAGGGAACUACGAGCAAAGCUUAAAACCCAAAGGACUUGACGGUACCCCACAUCCACCUAGAGGAGCCUGUCCUAUAAUCGAUAAUCCCCGUUUAACCUCACCAUUUUUAGCUUAUCAGCCUGUAUACCUCCGUCGUCAGCUUACCACGUGAGCGACCAUAAGUGAGCUUAAUGCCCGUUCGACAACACGUCAGGUCAAGGUGCAGCAAAUAAAAUGGGAAGAGAUGGGCUACACUCUCUAACCUAGAAAACACGAAAGACUAUUUAUGAAACCCUAGUCAGAAGGCGGAUUUAGUAGUAAAAAGAGACCAGAAAGCUCUUUUUAACCCGGCACUGGGGUGUGUACACACCGCCCGUCACCCUCUUCAAAGCCCACAAACAGUUCUUAACUCAUCAUUGCUAUUCAGAAG
rnacentral:rRNA from 2 species